UUUAGAGACUGGAGGGGUUGAUGUGUGUUCUGUGUGGUGCACGGCACCUGGUGGGAAUCUAGGAGGAGGGUCUAGGAGUCCGGGGACAUAGGUGUGACCCUUGGGUCUGUCACUGACCAGCUGUGCAGCCGGAGGCAAGUCUCUGCCUCUCUGAGCCUCAGUUUCCUCAUCUGUAUGAUGGGGGUGGCGGCCUUGCUCCCCUCAUCAUUUAUCUACAGCAGGUCGAGGGGUGAGACUGAUGUUACUGUGGUUCACGGUCAUCUUCACUGUUCAGCUCCAUUGACCCUCUUCUCGCAUCAAAAGAGCCCAUCUAGAAACCUCAUCCCAAGACUCUUCUGUUCCCGAGGGUGCUGGGAAUCCUCAUGGGACCGAGCUGAGGGACCCCUGUGAACAUCGGAUCCUUCAUCUGUGAAAUGGGCACAAUGACGGUAUCUGCCUAACUGCCGUGUGGGGAGAACUUGGUGAGUUAAUACGUGUAAAUUGCCCAGCGGAUCUUACCCGAUGGAAAACCUCCCUUCCACAGGCGUGCAAAGGGAAACAAACAAGGAGGUCCGUGGCAGCAGGAUUUGGGAUGGAGAGAAGGGGGGCAUCUCCAUGUUCCAUCUCCCAUAUAGCCUCAGAGCGCCUGGAUUCCUGGGGUUCCACCUUGGGAAGCCCCUCCCACAUGCCAGAGUUGCUCUGAGUGACAGAGGUGGGAGAGUGGCCGGCCCUUGCAAUAUUAUAACCACUUCCGAGGUGAGGUUGUAAAAGACUGUGGCUUCCAUCUCGGGCUCUUUCAUUACUCACUCGGGGGCAAGCAGCUGUCACAUCAUGGGGACACUCAGACAGCCUAUGGGGAGAACUGAAGUCUCCAGGCACAGCCAGCAAGAAACGGACGUCUGCAGCAAUCACAGGAGUGAGCCUGGAAGCCGAUUCUCCAGUCCCUACAGAAGACGGCAGCUUGACUCCCCAGCGACCCGGAACCAGAACCAUCCAGCUGAGCCACUCCCGGAUUCCUGACCCCUAGGACCUCUGAGAUAUUCCAGCUUUGGGCUUCCCUGGUGGCACAGUGGUUAAGAAUCUGCCUGCCAAUGCAGGGGACACGGGUUCGAGCCCUGGGCCGGGAAGAUCCUACAUGCCGCGGAGCAACUAAGCCUGUGUGCCACAACUACUGAGCCUGCGCUCUAGAGCCCACGAGCGACAACUACUGAAGCCCGCGUGCCACAACUACUGAAGCCCGCAAGCCACAACUACUGAAGCCCGCAAGCCACAACUACUGAAGUCCACGUGCCACAAUUACUGAAGCCCGGGUGCCUAGAGCCCAUGCUCUGCAACAAGAGAAGCCACCGCAAUGUCAAGCCCACGCACCGCAACAAAGAGUAGCCCCCACUCGCCACAACUAGAAAAAGCCUGCGCGCAGCAACGAAGACCCAACGCAGCCAAGAAAAAAAAAAGAAAAAAGUUGCUGUUAUGCCGAGUGAAGGACAAAAAGCUGACAAUUUCCCUGUGGUUUGGAAAGGAAAAUCUAGCGGGCAGGCCAGGGCCCCCGGGGAACACAAGGCCUGAACUCAACACGGUGGAGGGGCAACCUCAGUUCCACAAAACAUCAUCAUCUGUCACACUCAGUUUGUCCAGUAGCUUGAAUGCUGAUGUUCUUGUAGUUUGUUUUGUGCUUGAUUUGUAGCUGUGUGGUGUAGUGGCCAAGAAUACAGGACUCAGGACCCUGACUGUGUAUGUCCAAAGCCUGGUUCUCCCAGCUGGGUGAUUAUGGGCAAAUGACUGAGGUCUCUCAGCCUCAGUUUUCUCUUCUGUAUAAUGGGGACAAUAACAAUCCCUAUCUCGCAGGUGGUGGUAAGAACUCGGUGAGUUAAUACAUGUCAGGGGCACAGAGCAAGGGCGCAAUAAACGUGAGCUAGUACAGUUAUCAAGUUCAUAGAUAUUUAGGGAAGAGAAUUACUGAAGUCAUCUGUCACCUCUGGGGCUCUUGAGGUUUUCCCCCUUUAAAUGGAUGUUUUUAAUAUUUGAGCUGGAGGAAGUUUGGGCUGCCAUGAGUGUACGGCCCAUGUCCAGCCCAGCACUGUUCACGUGUGGUCUGGCAUUGUGUGCCCCAUCCCCGAUUCUCUCCCCUCCCCCAAUCCAGACUGAGAUUGAGCUCUGCAGGGCAGGGAGGGUCUGUUCACCCCACAUCCCCUCCGUCCAGCCUGGUGCCUGGCACAAACUAGCCUCCAGUAAGCGCUGGGUGAAUAAAUGAAUGCAAGCAGG